GAUGAACGCUGGCGGCGUGCCUAAUACAUGCAAGUCGAGCGAACGGACGAGAAGCUUGCUUUUCUGAUGUUAGCGGCGGACGGGUGAGUAACACGUGGAUAACCUACCUAUAAGACUGGGAUAACUUCGGGAAACCGGAGCUAAUACCGGAUAAUAUUUUGAACCGCAUGGUUCAAAAGUGAAAGACGGUCUUGCUGUCUCUUAUAGAUGGAUCCGCGCUGCAUUAGCUAGUUGGUAAGGUAACGGCUUACCAAGGCAACGAUGCAUAGCCGACCUGAGAGGGUGAUCAGCCACACUGGAACUGAGACACGGUCCAGACUCCUACGGGAGGCAGCAGUAGGGAAUCUUCCGCAAUGGGCGAAAGCCUGACGGAGCAACGCCGCGUGAGUGAUGAAGGUCUUCGGAUCGUAAAACUCUGUUAUUAGGGAAGAACAUAUGUGUAAGUAACUGUGCACAUCUUGACGGUACCUAAUCAGAAAGCCACGGCUAACUACGUG
rnacentral:rRNA from 1 species